ACAGGAAGAGUUCAGGCUCCUGGGCUUCCUGUAAGCCACGGCCAACCCUUGAGUUUGAGCUGCAUGUGUGGUCUCCUGCAUCCUCGGUCGCCAUCAUGGUCCACCGAGGUGCUGCUCCUAGUCUACAACAAGCAGUGGGAGAUAUGAAAUUACUCAAGAACAGCACAUUUGACGACAAAGGAUUUGAGGAGAUGAUGCCUGGAUCUAAACCGAAAGAAACAAUACCUGGAUGCUAUAAACGACCAAGUGCUCCAACUGACCCACAAGCCGAUAUAUUGAUGUUUCUUCUCUAUGUCAGUCUUUAUCUUUGACAAUAAAUCACUAUGCCUCAUAAGCAUUCACGAAUUUAGGAAAGUAGUUUUAAAUGAAAAUGAUUGUAUAAACAAGGGAUCCACCCAAAAAUGACUUAUCCAGGGUCCCACAUGCUCUAAGGGAUGGCCUUGAAGCCAGAAGUGGAGCAUAUGUAAUCAUUUUGUCCCAGUCCUAAACUGUGCUUCACAAAGGAUAACAUCACAAUGAUGACUCUGACUUUUUCUGAUAUCUUGACCAAUUUCCACUUCUUUUUAAGACCCAUGGGGAAUGGGAAAAUUGCAAUUGAAAACUUUGUCUGAAAUAGAAAUCUUAGGUUUUAUAAGAAGCAGAAAUGCACGUUGAAGUUUAAGGCCAACAUAGCAGGGACUCUGACUUCAGCCCAAAAGGGUAAAGUCGCAAGGCCACAUAUAUGCCCUUUGACCAAAGAGGAAAGACUAGGGGAAAUAGGACUUUGCAGUCAUACAACCUAAAGAAAUGGCAUGUAAGGGAUAGGCUGCCCAUCUAACCAGAGAAUGAAGUGUACGGUGUAGCAUUACUGCAGGCUAAGGAGGAGAAGCACAAUUAUCAUGAAAAAAAAAAAAAAGUUUCCUGAGCAAUGUCUAAGGAGUUGCAAUGGUUUUAUUCAUUACUAAAACAUAACUUGGAGAAGUCAAUCUGUUCUUGAGGCUGUGGAGUCCUAGUUCCCUGUUCUUUGGCAACUGCCUCCUUUUCUCUCCCCUCCUCUGUACUUACACAGACAACAGAUUCCUUGGACCCUGAGUCAACUGGUUUGUAAUGUGAGAUGUCAGCCAAACGCAGAUAUCUGUUCCUCACUCACAGCAACACUUGCACACUCAGAAACGCCAGGCUAUACGUGGAUUCUUCUACCAUUGGCUUCAUUGUUUUGAAGCAACUUACUCCCUUCUUUGCUUGGCCAUAAUUAUUCCAGUUGCUCUCCCCACUCAUUUUUCCAAAAAGUGGAGAGAAAUGCAUAAUCCCACAAUACACAACCCACUGCUACUUCAUUUCCUGUGGAGUCCUUCGCCUAGAUCAGACUUCACUGUCUGUAUUAUUAUUCUGUUAGGAAGAAUAAGUAAAAUAAGUUCGACUUUGCAAUGGAACUCUAAUCUCAACCAUCACUGGAAACCACAAUUAAUUCAAACAAAAGGUAUAUGCGGCGAACCUAACACUUAGAAAAGCCAAGUAAUGUCAUCUUUUCUUUAUUUAGCAAAGCGUACUCUCGUAAAGGCUCACUAAUCCCUUCCCGUCUAUCAUGACUGUGGUAGCCUGACAGAUGAUGCAACGUCUUCUGGCAAACUUCAGACAUAGCAGGGAGAAGAAAAAGAUUCAAGAAAAUAGAGUAUGGUACAAGGAGAGUCAACGGGAGAGAGGAAAAGCAAAAAUAGAGAAAAAGAAGUGCAUCCGAUCGGAGGAAGCGGGGCACACCAGCAACAGUCCAUCUAUUAGAUGAGGAAAGUGAGGUCAGAGAGACUAAGCAACCGUCCUCAAGUGUCACCGCUAGUAAAUGAUGAAGCACGGCUAUAACAAGAAAGCAGUGUGUUCAAAGACACUUUUGAACUCAAAGAGACUUCAAAACAUUAAAUAAAUUAGCGUCAUCUAGAGGGAAAAAAAAUGACUUCUGGAUUUGGUUCUACUUACAGCAUCAGCAAUUAAUGUCAUUCAUCCACAAAAUAAAUAUACUUCUUCACUCUCCUGAUUUUUAGAGUACUCAGGCCACCUCAAGAUAGACCACCGUGGCAUGCACUUUAUUUUGAAUUAAAAGCGAUCGAACCCCAGCAGAUUUAGGAAAAACUCUUUACCUCCCGCCCCCCGCCCCCACAACUGCCUGCUUGUACCAGGAGGAGAGUCACUAACAGGACUCCCAUCUAUCUAGGAAACUUAAUUGCACAAUAGGGCAAUGUUUGUUUUCCAAGCACCUUCUCUCACCUUCCUGCUAAAACGUCUUUCUCUCCUCUGUAUCCUCCGACGUCUACCUCGCUCCUUAGCUCGUAUAAGCUUUGUGUUGCUUCACAGCCUUUGAAAUUUCCAUGUCUGCAGGGAUUUCCCAGUGUGGACUCUGUCUUGUGUCCAUUUGAUUCUUAGGUCAGCUAGAAGGGUCUUGAAAGGCAGAGUAAGUUCUUCCUCCCCAACACCUGGAUCUGGAAAAAAGCUGAAUGUUCAUCCAGGAAGUACAUAACUUGCAGGAUCUAUUCUCACUGCCAUGAAUAGUUUAGUAAUUGUUGAGAAACCACAAUAUUUUCAGAACUGGACAGAAUGUGAGAGAAUACUGUUCCCAUCCCAUCUUUUUCAAAAGACUGAGUGCCCCAAAGAAAAAUCAACAGAGCUUUCUGCUGCCUGUAUCAGGUAGCAAAUCAUAUGCUACUGGUGAGGUAUGUCCAUCUGCACAUGCAGGGUUUCAUUUUUCAUUUUGUGCCCCACAACAAAAGCCAGCGGAAGGGGAAAUUUCCUAAGAGAAGCAGCCCCACACUAGUUUUAUGGUGGGGCUGCAGAAGUGUGGGGUGCACAACUUACUGAAUUCUGGGAAACAUAAUGGAACCUGACCCUACAAAAUGAAGCCUCUAGGUCAACAACACCUUUCCAUCUUCCAACCUUUAAUUACUUAGAUCAUUCACACUUUUAUAAUGUAAUUAUGUGCUAAUACCACAUUUGCACACAAACUUCACCCAGGCAGUAAAAUGGGCAUCAAUCAAUUAUAACAGCCUGAAAAUCCAAAGACGUAUUUCCUAGGUAGCUACUUACCCAUAUGCUUCUUUAGAAAAACUCCUCCUCCCUUUUAGUGUGUCUCCAGGGCUAAUA